CCUACGGGAGGCAGCAGUGAGGAAUAUUGGUCAAUGGACGAGAGUCUGAACCAGCCAAGUAGCGUGAAGGAUGACUGCCCUAUGGGUUGUAAACUUCUUUUAUAUGGGAAUAAAACGUUCCACGUGUGGGAUUUUGUAUGUACCAUAUGAAUAAGGAUCGGCUAACUCCGUGCCAGCAGCCGCGGUAAUACGGAGGAUCCGAGCGUUAUCCGGAUUUAUUGGGUUUAAAGGGAGCGUAGGUGGAUUGUUAAGUCAGUUGUGAAAGUUUGCGGCUCAACCGUAAAAUUGCAGUUGAAACUGGCAGUCUUGAGUACAGUAGAGGUGGGCGGAAUUCGUGGUGUAGCGGUGAAAUGCUUAGAUAUCACGAAGAACUCCGAUUGCGAAGGCAGUUCACUGGACUGCAACUGACAUUGAUGCUCGAAAGUGUGGGUAUCAAACAGGAUUAGAUACCCUUGUAGUC
rnacentral:rRNA from 1 species